rnacentral:tRNA from 1 species
GCCGGUGUGUCGGAACUGGCAGACGAUCUCGACUCAAAAUCGAGUGCCCGCAAGGGCGUAGGGGUUCGAGUCCCCUCACCGGCACCA